rnacentral:rRNA from 1 species
UACGGAGGGUGCAAGCGUUGUUCGGAAUUACUGGGCGUAAAGCGCGUGUAGGCGGUUUCCUCAGUCUGGUGUGAAAGCCCGGGGCUCACCCCCGGAAGUGCAUCGGAUACUGGGAGACUAGAGUACCGGAGAGGAGGGUGGAAUUCCUGGUGUAGCGGUGAAAUGCGUAGAUAUCAGGAGGAACACCGGUGGCGAAGGCGGCCCUCUGGACGGAUACUGACGCUGAGACGCGAAAGCGUGGGGAGCAAACAGG